AUGCUGACGACGAUGAGGAGACAGAUGCGGAUGAAUCAGAGGAGGAGGACAAGGAUGAGGAUGACAAUGAAGAAGAUGCAGAGGAGGAGGAGGAUGAGGAGGAAGAGGAGGAGGAGGAGGAGGACAAAUAAGAAGAGGACAAAGGAGAGGAGGAGAACAAGGAAGAAGAUAGUGAUGCAGAGGAGGAGGAAGAAGAAGGUGAGGCCAGAGAGGGGGACGGGGACAAAGGGGCAGCAGUUGAUGGCAGUGAGAGGGGAGAAGACAAAGGCGCAGCAGCUGAUGGCAGUGAGAGGGAAGAAGACGAGGAUGAAGAAGACGAGGAUGAUUAUGGUGAUGAUAAAGGGGGAUCCGAUGGAGGCAGCGACAGCAGCGAUGACGAUGAUGAUGACAACGCUCCUGGUUCUGGUGGUACAGGUGGCAACACAUCCAGGAGGACUAGCACUCACGCCACCCCUGCGAGCAGCAGCAAUUCAUUGA
rnacentral:rRNA from 1 species